AAAUGCUUUUCUUGCAUGCGUUAGGGUUGUGCAGCUAUUAUUCUGUGUUUUUUUCAUCAUCAACAGUACAGGCUGACCCUACGAGUAACGACAGUUUUAGCAACAAAUGUUUUAGCGCCUCGUCUUGCAACUGUAGUUGAUACUCUAGGGUUUUAUGUUUUAAAUUGGAUUUCAACUGUUUGAGAUCAGUAAAGUUCAAGCACUUAAAAGCAAGAAUUGUACUGAUUUAAAAGUAAACUGUUUUCUUUGGGUUUCAGAAGGAAAAACUAGAUGGCGUUGACGUGCGUCUAUGAUAAUUGAUAAAUAUUACGAAUUUACGAGUGACAAGUUAAAUUGGUGUUUAUUACGUUUCUACCCUGUUCAGUGUUUCAAAGGAUUUUUCAUCAAAUAUUAACGGUAUGAUAUAAUCUUACCGUUUUUAUUGUAAGCCCGACUAAGUUGGGGUCACUCACCCCGUUCGCUUCCGUUCAUUCCUCCUUCAUGCGAAGCUAAGGGGUGAGGGCCCAUGAAGUUUAGUCGGGUAAAACAAAAAAGUUAGGUAAGUGAAAGAUCACUAAUGAAUUGGAUUAAAUUUUGUAACUAUGCCAAGAUUGCAUUCUAUUUUAAACAUUCUCUUGGUUACAACACUAAAAUUUGCCACUUUUUUGUGCCAACCUGAGAUAUACUUCUUUUCAUGAUUAUUUGCAUGAUACACUCAAUUGUUGUUUGAAGGUGGAUUGUCACCAGACAUCCUUUGAAUGGUACGCCCACUAUCAGCAGCCUUAUAGUGUGCUUCAUAAAUAUGUCAACCCCUGAGAUGACAUUAUCCUUGGAAAUUGUGUUUUUGUUGUGGUUUUGUUCUCCACUUCUAUUCUUCGUUACCUUCAUGGUGUGAUAUUGUAUCAUCCUGGAAAAAGGAAUCUGGAAAUUGAUGAUUUCUAAUAUACAGCUGGUGUUCAGAUGAUGAGUUUAAUAUAUUUACAUUUUGGAAUGAACUUUCAAUUGGAAGUUGAGUGUUUUAUCAGAUUAUUGAAUCCUACUUUGAAAACCAAACUAUUUCCUUCUACAAAUGGAUUUUGAAGUAUUGUACAUAUGGUAUUAUGUACUCUAUGAUAUCUUCGCGAAGCCUUUAAUUGACGUUGUACUAAAAAAAUUCCCAUGGAAGGAAGUUCUUGCAGGAUCUUUUAUCGACCGUCUAUGUUAUGCAGUAAUUGGAUCUGCUGUUUAGUUAGAAACUUAAACUUCUCAGCUUAGAAUUUAUACGAAGAAUGAUAUUUGAUUGGAAAAAGUUCCUGGUUGAGACAAGAGAUCAAAAAAUGAUACUGAACAUUGGAAAGACGACCGGCAAUUUCAAGAUUCAUUUAUUUCCUUUCACAUUAUAGUAUUAUUAUAUUAAAAAAAAUUGAAUUGCAUAUCUGGGCUCCCUUCUUUUCUGUGGCCACGUUUCCCCUUGACUUAUGAUAAGCCCGUAGAGGAACUAAAAAAUAGUUUAAAUCAUCAAUUUUUUGUUUCUUCGUUUAAUCCAUGUUCUUUGAAUUUUCUUUUAUACUUUCUUUGUAUUUACACUGUACAUUUUCUACCUUUAAGAAAUGGAAUCUUAAUACUGCUGAUUUAUAAAUUCUGGUAUUGAGAAUUCCAGAGUGCCUUUGAAUUACCGCCGAUCACAAUCUUGUGAUUAGUAAUUUGAUGUUAUUUAUUCUUGAAUUUCAUGCUUACGAGAAUUGUACUUUCCUGCAGAAUGAUUUGGUAUACAAUCUUUGUGUACAUCGG